rnacentral:rRNA from 1 species
ACGAACGCUGGCGGCGUGCUUAACACAUGCAAGUCGAACGGAAAGGCCUCUUUCGGGGGGUACUCGAGUGGCGAACGGGUGAGUAACACGUGAGUAACCUGCCCUUGACUUUGGGAUAACUUCAGGAAACUGGGGCUAAUACCGGAUAGGAGCUCCUGCUGCAUGGUGGGGGUUGGAAAGUUUCGGCGGUUGGGGAUGGACUCGCGGCUUAUCAGCUUGUUGGCGGGGUAGUGGCUUACCAAGGCUUUGACGGGUAGCCGGCCUGAGAGGGUGACCGGCCACAUUGGGACUGAGAUACGGCCCAGACUCCUACGGGAGGCAGCAGUGGGGAAUAUUGCACAAUGGGUGGAAGCCUGAUGCAGCAACGCCGUGUGCGGGAUGACGGCCUUCGGGUUGUAAACCGCUUUCGCUCAUGACGAAGCUUUGUGUGACGGUAGUGGGUAAAGAAGCACCGGCUAACUACGUG